rnacentral:rRNA from 1 species
AACGAACGCUGGCGGCAGGCCUAACACAUGCGAGUCGAGCGAGGACUUCGGUCCUAGCGGCGGACGGGUGAGUAACGCGUGGGAACGUGCCCUUUGCUUCGGAAUAGCCCUGGGAAACUGGGAGUAAUACCGGAUGAGCCCUUUGGGGGAAAGAUUUAUCGGCGAAGGAUCGGCCCGCGUUGGAUUAGGUAGUUGGUGGGGUAAUGGCCUACCAAGCCGACGAUCCAUAGCUGGUUUGAGAGGAUGAUCAGCCACACUGGGACUGAGACACGGCCCAGACUCCUACGGGAGGCAGCAGUGGGGAAUCUUAGACAAUGGGGGAAACCCUGAUCUAGCCAUGCCGCGUGAGCGAUGAAGGCCUUAGGGUUGUAAAGCUCUUUCAGCUGGGAAGAUAAUGACGGUACCAGCAGAAGAAGCCCCGGCUAACUCCGU